GGGGGCGACAAGUCUGUUUCCUCCCGGUCUCCGCCUGCGCCGGCUGAAACGAGUCUUUCCGGUGGGGCUGCCCAGCCGGGUCCGCCCCGCCCGGCCUCCCGGAACCCGCUCGCAGACAUGAACGACCCCGCCCGGGCCGAGGGCGAGAGCAGGCGGGUGGGUGGAGCGGCUGGAGAGGCCGGAGAGCCCGGGUCCUGGGUUCCAGCCCGGGCUGCGAGCUCUGGAGCCCCUCUUUCCGAUCCGGUGGCUCGCCAAGGGCACCCUGACCGAAGGUUUAUGUUGAAGCUUCCUGGGUGAUUCUGCGAAUCAAGGCUCCAGUCUAACCUUAUUACUUUACAACUGGGGAAACUGAGGCACACACUAUGCCAAGGCCUCACCUUAAGUUAGCCAACCACGAGGAAGCCAAGGGAAAGCCUACAAGGAGAGACCCCACGAAGGCCAGGAUUUCCUCCAGGACCUGAGUCCUGAGGGUGUGGAGUAGAAGAGAGGGGCUAGGGACGCAGGAAGGUCUGGGCACGCUGCCCUGACAGCUUCGCAGGAUCACCGCGCGGUCCCCAGGCUCACGAAAUUAAUGAGGAAAAGGCCUUUCUUUCUUCAGUCGAGGAGUAGAGAUUCCGUUUAACCUCUGCAGACAGUAAGACAGCGACCACUCUCCCUCCCAGCCUGGCGCCAGCAUGAACCCGAGGGCAUGUCAGCAGGAGCCAGGAACUGGAGGCGAAGCAUCCUUCAUUUCCUCUGCGGCAGUGGAACGAGUGAGGUCUCUGAUUGCCAGAGUCUUGUUUUUUUCAAAAUCGCAGCAUGCUGAGACCGAAAGCGGGGUACCCCGGAGGAUUCUUUUAUAUGCUCAACCUUGAGUCAGACUUGCAAUCAGCAUUUGAUCAAGAAACUUGCAAGGUAUUCUCAAACUUGGGAACCAGCCUUGAAGCCUGACAAAAUUACCUGGGAUGGAGCUCAGGACGGCAGGCCCUUGUCUUGCUCUGUGACUGUACAUGUCACUUUUCACUUAGCCAUUCAACAAAAACUCUGGAGAACCUCCUGUCUGCUUGGGCUUCUAAAUCAUGGUGCUGACACUUUAGACUAGAAAAUAACAAAGAAGGAAGCUGCCAAAUAGCAGCAUGGAAAGCUUUGCAAAAGAACUGACAUUUGAUAUGGACUCUGACAGAUGAAAAGGAGUUCCCAGGGUGGCAUCAGUUCAUCUUCUAUAAGGGACCUGGCAGCAUCCCACAGUGUGAUCCAGAGCCUGGUGGAGGGCUGGGAAUGCUAGCAGCUCCUCUAAUUUUUACUGCUGUAAACCAAAGUUUUGCAGAAGGACCCUGAAUUACAACUCAGUACUCCGGAACUUCCCUGGUGGUCCAAUGGUUAAGAAUCUGCCUGCCAGUGCAGAGAGCAUGAGUUUGAUACCUGGUCUGGGAAGAGUCCACAUGCCACGGAGCAGCUAAGCCCAUGUGCCACAACUGCUGAGGCCUGCAUGCCCAGACACUGCGCUCUACAACAGGAGAAGACCCUGCAAUGAGAAGCCCCCACUCGCUGCAGGUAGAGAAAGUCCAUGCACAGCAACAAAGACCCAGUGCAGCCAAAAA